CAGGAACUGCAGGACCUCCUGGAAGAAGACGCGCAAGACUUUGCAAGUGAGAACAGCGGAUUGGAAGGCACUGUCCAGCAGCCAAGCGAGAGCGUUGAAGCCCUUCCGAGAGCCCUGCAAGCCUCUGCCUCAGGUGGUGAACUUUCCCAGCAGCUGGACAUGGAGCCUGGAACAGGCAUGCAGCU